rnacentral:rRNA from 1 species
GACGAACGCUGGCGGCGUGCCUAAUACAUGCAAGUCGAACGCAUUUUCUUUCACCGUAGCUUGCUACACCGAAAGAAAAUGAGUGGCGAACGGGUGAGUAACACGUGGGUAACCUGCCCAUCAGCGGGGGAUAACACUUGGAAACAGGUGCUAAUACCGCAUAAUUCCAUUUACCGCAUGGUAGAUGGGUGAAAGGCGCUUUUGCGUCACUGAUGGAUGGACCCGCGGUGCAUUAGCUAGUUGGUGGGGUAACGGCCUACCAAGGCUGCGAUGCAUAGCCGACCUGAGAGGGUGAUCGGCCACACUGGGACUGAGACACGGCCCAGACUCCUACGGGAGGCAGCAGUAGGGAAUCUUCGGCAAUGGACGCAAGUCUGACCGAGCAACGCCGCGUGAGUGAAGAAGGGUUUCGGAUCGUAAAACUCGGUUGUUAGAGAAGAACAAGGAUGAGAGUGGAAAGUUCAUCCCUUGACGGUAUCUAACCAGAAAGCCACGGCUAACUACGUG